rnacentral:snoRNA from 1 species
GCUGAGACUAGAGUCACAUCUCGACACAACACUUGUCCUGGUGUGCUAGAGUUCUUGAAGAGAAUCUGCUGGUCUUGAUUCACUCACUGGCAGGGGCAGUCAGUGCCCCCGUUAGUGCCCAGGUUAGUAACAUAC